CCCAAAAUUAUCUUCCUGCUUUCCUAAACGAGCGUCCCAAAAUUAUCUUCCUGUUUUUAAUUUUGGCUACUAAGGUCCCCACUUUCUCAUGUACUAUAUUAAUUAAAAUUGAAUUGAAAACCCCACCCAUGUACUAUAUUCCACUUUUCCCAUGUACUAUAUUCUCUUUCACAUGUACUUUAUUCCACUUUUCCAUACAAUUCAAUCAUCAUUUGUACUUUAUUCCACUUUUUCAUGUACUAUAUUCCACUUUUCUUAAAAUCCGUGUUUUUGGUCAAACAGGAAGAUAAUUAUGGGACGGAGGGAGUAGUUUUGUUACUUUAAGUGAUUGAGGUUGUGUUAAUUCACACUGAUUAAAGAUAUAUUAAUCUAUUGCUUUCAUAUCGGUGAUUCAGUGUCUACGGGUUGUUGAUGCAUGGUUUGUUAGUUAAAUGUACCAGGCUCUCAGGGAAAAAAGAUUGGUUCUUUACAUUUUCUUUAAAAAAUAUGGUUUGUAUUUUGGGAGGAUAUGGUGUGAAUAUUAUUGUUAAAAAGAGUAAUGACUUACAUCGAAUUGCAAGAGAGACAACAUCGACGAAAUAGUUGGCGGAAUUAUCCCAGACAAGCGAUUUUAUGAGAGGUCGACAAAACGAGGGCUUUUGACCUUAUAGCCUAAAGUGAGUGCCUUCAUGGGUAGGCAAUUCUGUGAUUUGAAAUCACUACUGCUGGCUAUUUUGUUCUGUUUGAAAGGUGACUGGCAACUUAGCUCUUGGCUAAAUUGGGGGGUUGGAUGUCUAGAUACUGUUGUUGGGUGUGGGUAGGAUGCUGCUUCUGUGGACUUCAAGUCUGGGGUUCAGGUUUUUGAGCUACAACUUCUGUGUUUGCUGUCUGCAAAUUGAAAAUCCUCCGGGGGAUUUUCCUGAUCAUCAAAGAGAAACAACAGUUGUAUUCUUCAUUGAGAUCUUUAAAUCUACGAGGGAGGUUGUUCGCGCAAGCUAAUUGAGUGUCUGAAUUCGUACUUGUUAAAACAUGGUCCAAAUCUGGGACGCGAGUCCUUAGAUGUUCAUAAAUCUGUGACUGUGAAGCUGAUUGUAUUUGAUAAUUGGCAUAUUGCCGAUGGUGAUCUCAAGGUCUCAACCUAAAUAACUAAUGCCCAAUGUAACAUUUACUUGCUCUUUCCUUACAACGGUCUUUUCAACUUAUAAAUUUUGUAUUUUUUUUUAUGAGGGUUUCAUUUUGUAUAUGAAGUUACAGAUAAAUUUGAUGAGAGUUAACGAAGAUGAAGAGGAAGAUAAAGAUACAUAUGGUAUCAGUAUGGAGCUAGAUCAAUACAGUAUCCAUGGCAUUGCUGCAUCACGGUGUGAUUUAUGUCAUUUCAGUCUCCUUUCUCUCUUGUUUCCUCGUGGUUUCUUGUUUCCCUCAGAUCCUUUCAAAUGUUGUCGAGCUUUUGCGUCAACAUCAACUUCAGGUGUUGUUGACAUCAGUUCAUAAUGUACUCCAAAAUACUCAAAUGUUUGUAUUACACCUUGCAGGCUUAUAUAGUUACAUUAGGUUAGGAGAUGAUGUCAAGGUAAUGGACUUCUACAACUCGACUCCAUAGUUGAAAUUUAAUUGUGUCAUCGGGAACUAGAUGGUGGCAUCUAGAUGUAGAGUCUAAAGAUGGCAUGUAUUAUGAACAUGAUGAUAUGGCAUAGGUGAUUUAUGACUUCAUUUUAUUAUAGAAUUUUGUAUUUCUUUCAAAGAAGAUUAUAAGACGAAACAUUAAGUUGCUUUAUACGUUAACAUUUUUUGUAAUAUUUUUUUCGAUUAAUGAAAGAUUUGGAUUAUUUUGGUAUUAUAA